UUCUUUCUCUACAUCUGUUUCAGAGAUGAUGGUGUCUACAGUCUGGGAAGCUGCUGUCCCUGAGGUCCUGGGGAUUGAACUCAGGUAGUCAAGAUUGGCAGCAAGUGCCUUUAUCGGCUGAGCCACCACACUGCUCUCCACCCCAAGCCAGUUGUCAUUUACAAUUACAUAAAAAGAUGUUAUGUGAAGGGAUAAGCAGAGGAAAAAAAAAGGUAUGCAGAAGUUGCUCAAUGAUGGCAACAGCUGCUAUUACGGUUACUGAAGUUCUUACUGUCACAGCAGGAAAGGAGGAGACAUUACCACUGGACUGCCACCAUCUUCAUCCUAAGGCAUCCUGUCAUGAACAACCUUGAUCAACAAUCCCAUGAGGGCCUCAAGUUUCAGUUAUGCUAGCUUGUAAGUCUGAUGGGACUCCAUUCGUGACCUCCUUAGAUGGCUUCUCCUGGAGUUUAGAUUCCAGAUAUGAUUUUCAACCACUGGGGGACAUCUUUUAGUUUCCUAAACUUCAUUUUGCCUGUGCUAGAUGAGAGUUGAACUAUGUGUCAAUCAAAUCUAAGAGGUGGAGCCAUUUGAAUCUCUGAAUGACCCCCUCUGGUGGCUCCUCUCUUUCCUUGCACACACUUCUGACUAACACACACCCAUUUUCUCUGUUGCUCUUUUUGUAAUUAAUAACUCGAUGUGGGGACUACACAAGUAGGAAGCCACUGCUUUUUUGUCUUCCU
ensembl:lincRNA Gm13660 predicted gene 13660